rnacentral:rRNA from 1 species
UACGUAGGGGGCCAGCGUUGUCCGGAUUCAUUGGGCGUAAAGCGCGCGUAGGCGGCCGGUCAGGUCGCCCGUGACAGCCCCCGGCUCAACCGGGGUCCGUCGGGCGAAACCGAUCGGCUCGAGGCCGGUAGGGGGAAGCGGAAUUCCCGGUGUAGUGGUGGAAUGCGUAGAGAUCGGGAGGAACACCCGUGGCGAAGGCGGCUUCCUGGCCCGAGCCUGACGCUGAGGCGCGAAAGCGUGGGGAGCGAUCCGG